AUUCCAGCUCCAAUAGCGUAUAUUAAAGUUGUUGCGGUUAAAAAGCUCGUAGUUGGAUUUCUGCCGAGGAUGACCGGUCCGCCCUGUGGGUGUGCAUCUGGCUCAGCCUUGGCAUCUUCCUGAAGAACGUAGCUGCACUUGACUGUGUGGUGCGGUAUUUAGGACAUUUACUUUGAGGAAAUUAGAGUGUUUCAAGCAAGCGCACGCUUUGAAUACAUUAGCAUGGAAUAAUAAGAUAGGACCUCGGUUCUAUUUUGUUGGUUUCUAGAGCUGAGGUAAUGAUUGAUAGGGAUAGUUGGGGGUGCUAGUAUUGAGCGGCCAGAGGUGAAAUUCUUGGAUUCGCUCAAGACUAACUUAUGCGAAAGCAUUCACCAAGGAUGUUUUCAUCA
rnacentral:rRNA from 1 species